AAAAAAACAAACCCUGAUUUUCGUGUCCAAUAUUUGACCGUCCGUUUUAUUUGAAAAAAUUAUGAAAAAAAAAUAAAAAGACAAGUUACGCAUAAAAUAUUAAUCAUAUUUUAUCAUCUAACAACAAUGAAAAUACGAAUUAUAAAAAAAUUUCAUAUAAGACGGAUAGUUAAAGUUGGACACGGAAAACUAGAGUUUGCUUUUUU
rfam:Oryza sativa (indica cultivar-group) chromosome 4, whole genome shotgun sequence.